AUUGAACGCUGGCGGCGUGCUUAACACAUGCAAGUCGAACGGUGAACCGGGCUUCGGCCCGGGGAUCAGUGGCGAACGGGUGCGUAACACGUGGGCAACCUGCCUCAGACACUGGGAUAACCCCGGGAACCGGGGACGUAAUACCGGAUACUCCGACCGGACUGCAUGAUCCGGCCGGGAAAGCUCCGACGGUCUGAGAUGGGCCCGCGGCCUAUCAGCUUGUUGGUGGGGUAACGGCCCACCAAGGCGACGACGGGA
rnacentral:rRNA from 1 species